rnacentral:rRNA from 1 species
GACGUAGGUGGCAAGCGUUGUUCGGAAUCACUGGGCAUAAAGCGCGCGUAGGCGGCUAAGUCAGUCAGGUGUGAAAGCCCUCGGCUCAACCGAGGAACUGCGCCUGAUACUGCUUGGCUUGAGGUCCGGAGGGGAGAGUGGAAUUCCCGGUGGAGCGGUGAAAUGCGUAGAGAUCGGGAAGAACGCCGGCGGCGAAAGCGACUCUCUGGUCGGAAUCUGACGCUGAGGCGCGAAAGCUAGGGGAGCAAACGGG